rnacentral:rRNA from 1 species
UGUAUUGGUAGGAGAGCGUUCUAAGGGCGUUGAAGGCAGAUCGUGAGGACUGCUGGAGCGCUUAGAAGUGAGAAUGCCGGUAUGAGUAGCGAAAGACAGGUGAGAAUCCUGUCCACCGAAUGACUAAGGUUUCCUGGGGAAGGCUCGUCCGCCCAGGGUUAGUCGGGACCUAAGCCGAGGCCGACAGGCGUAGGCGAUGGAUAACAGGUUGAUAUUCCUGUACCCGUUGUUUUUGUUUGAGCAAUGGAGGGACGCAGGAGGCUAAGGAAUGCAGACGAUCGGAAAUGUCUGUCCAAGCAGUAAGUCUGAAGAGGAGUCAAAUGCUUCUUUUCUUAAGGACAAGCUGUGAUGGGGAGGGAAAUAAUAGUACCGAAGUUCCUGAUGUCACACUGCCGAGAAAAGCUUCUAGUGAGAAAACAGCGGCCCGUACCGCAAACCGACACAGGUAGUCGAGGAGAGAAUCCUAAGGUGAGCGAGAGAACUCUCGUUAAGGAACUCGGCAAAAUGACCCCGUAACUUCGGGAGAAGGGGUGCUGAUCAUACGAUCAGCCGCAGUGAAUAGGCCCAAGCGACUGUUUAUCAAAAACACAGGUCUCUGCAAAAUCGUAAGAUGAAGUAUAGGGGCUGACGCCUGCCCGGUGCUGGAAGGUUAAGAGGAGUGCUUAGCGCAAGCGAAGGUACGAA